GAUGAACGCUGGCGGCGUGCCUAAUACAUGCAAGUCGAGCGAACAGACGAGGAGCUUGCUCCUCUGACGUUAGCGGCGGACGGGUGAGUAACACGUGGAUAACCUACCUAUAAGACUGGGAUAACUUCGGGAAACCGGAGCUAAUACCGGAUAACAUGUUGAACCGCAUGGUUCAACAGUGAAAGACGGUCUUGCUGUCACUUAUAGAUGGAUCCGCGCCGCAUUAGCUAGUUGGUAAGGUAACGGCUUACCAAGGCAACGAUGCGUAGCCGACCUGAGAGGGUGAUCGGCCACACUGGAACUGAGACACGGUCCAGACUCCUACGGGAGGCAGCAGUAGGGAAUCUUCCGCAAUGGGCGAAAGCCUGACGGAGCAACGCCGCGUGAGUGAAGAAGGUCUUCGGAUCGUAAAACUCUGUUAUUAGGGAAGAACAAAUGUGUAAGUAACUAUGCACGUCUUGACGGUACCUAAUCAGAAAGCCACGGCUAACUACGUGCCAGCAGCCGCGGUAAUACGUAGGUGGCAAGCGUUAUCCGGAAUUAUUGGGCGUAAAGCGCGCGUAGGCGGUUUUUUAAGUCUGAUGUGAAAGCCCACGGCUCAACCGUGGAGGGUCAUUGGAAACUGGAAAACUUGAGUGCAGAAGAGGAAAGUGGAAUUCCAUGUGUAGCGGUGAAAUGCGCAGAGAUAUGGAGGAACACCAGUGGCGAAGGCGACUUUCUGGUCUGUAACUGACGCUGAUGUGCGAAAGCGUGGGGAUCAAACAGGAUUAGAUACCCUGGUAGUCCACGCCGUAAACGAUGAGUGCUAAGUGUUAGGGGGUUUCCGCCCCUUAGUGCUGCAGCUAACGC
rnacentral:rRNA from 2 species